rnacentral:rRNA from 1 species
UGGGGAAUAUUGCACAAUGGGCGCAAGCCUGAUGCAGCAACGCCGCGUGAGGGACGACGGCCUUCGGGUUGUAAACCUCUUUUGGCAGGGAAGAAGCGAAAGUGACGGUACCUGCAGAAAAAGCACCGGCUAACUACGUGCCAGCAGCCGCGGUGAUACGUAGGGUGCAAGCGUUGUCCGGAUUCACUGGGUUUAAAGGGUGCGUAGGUGGGUAUGUAAGUCAGUGGUGAAAUCCCCGAGCUUAACUUGGGAACUGCCAUUGAUACUAUAUAUCUUGAAUACCGUAGAGGUAAGCGGAAUAUGUCAUGUAGCGGUGAAAUGCUUAGCUAUGAAAUGGAACACCAAUUGCGAAGGCAGCUUACUAUGCAGUGAUUGACA